UCAAAAUCUUCUCCAUCUCUUGGUAACAGAGACUCCCUUUAUUACCAUUUUGGACUGUGCAUAGUCUGACAACUUGUGAACAAGUUCUAAGGAAAACUCGGACUAAAUAAAGAGUGCUUCCCUACAAUAGCAUAGAUGCACAUUACAAUUGGAGCCCAAGCCCACUGUGGAAGGUGAACAACCCACCCCUCGUGAGCACAAGGAGUGAGCAUCCCAGAAGAGCACUACCUCCCUGCAGAGGCGUUGCAGUGCUCGCUCUAAGGUGGAUUGCCAGCUCGCUGGAGUGCAAGCAAAAUCCUCCACAGAUGGGGGACAAGCUUGAGAAACAGCAGUACGAGAGGUAAUAUUUUAUAAAGAAAAUGAUGAAUGAUUCCAAGAAAGAAAUUAGGAAGCAGAAAUCAUCUCAGGCAUACAUGGAACAACAUCAUGAUGUAAUGGAAAAUGGACUGUAUUAUGGCCCGUGGUUUGAUAAUGAAGGGAAAGCUGUGAAGCUCAUUUGUGACAAUGUAAAAAAAUAAAAAAGACAGAGCAUGUUGA